CUGCGAAAGAAAGUGUCACAGUUCAACUCCAAAGCUAUGAAUGACUGCAGAACUGCAAACGCCUAAUGUUCUUGUACAUGAAGAGGCAGGACUGAGAUAAGUUAGGGACACUGCUUGGUCCGUUUUAGGACUUUUGCCAACGUCGAAAUAACUUUUGGUCAACAAUGAAUAAUUCAACCAACUUGUUCCUGUGCUAGCGCAAACCAGACAUCUUCUGCACUACUUAUAAUAAUGGUCACUGGAAAAAAAGUCAUAACUUUUAAGAGCUGUUUCCGCAUCAUGGGACGGACUGCUUUAUAAAUCAAGCAAUACCUUUUGAUUUUAUGCCACACUCUCCCCAUCUCCAACCAAGCUAAAUGGUUCCCUCCUGCAAGAAGAAAAUACUAUGGAUUUCGUUGGAUGAGACGGAUGUGUCAUGAGGCCGAGGAUAGACAGCAAGGGAGAGGAAGAAAUCAAAGAGCUUGUGGACAAGGGGCCUGUCAGAGAGGUUGGCAUGGGCCCCAUCAAAGAGGUCAAAGAGGUGGGCCCCGUAGAAAAGGUCAAAGAGGUGUGCAUGGGCCCCGUCAAAGAGGUGGGCAUGGGCCCUGUCAAAGAGGUGGACAUCAGAGAGAGGGAGGCAACUUGCAGGGAACUGUUGCGUCUUAUGAAGUCUGGGCCAUCGUCGUUGACCAUGUGGUAAACAGAGGCCUUACCAUGGCAGAGGGUGACAGAUUAGUUCACAUCAAUCUGAAAAGAUCAGCUGUCAAUUCGAUCAUCACAACAUUUUGUCAAGAAAACCAGUAAGUCUGCAGGAUAUGCACCAUGCUUUACCAUUAUAUUUUCAGUAAAUUACAUAUUGUAAUGCAUGUGAAUUCACAAAACAUGUCACGGUAUUCUUACAUUAUGAUCUAUUGACAGUAUACUCUGUUCUACCAUCAGAAUUGACAGAAGACCACAUGGUGGUGGCCGUGGCUGUGUGCUGAUCGACCAGCAGGAGUGGGCAGUGGUGGAAAUGGUGAGGGCCAGGAAUGUCCGAAAUAAAGCAUGCCAUUGAGGAGAACGAUGACACCGUUAUAAAUGUGGUAUCCAUCAGCCGACCAAAAAUCUCCCGCCUUUUGAAGAGGCACCAAGUAUCUGUGAAACACAUUUACCUGGUGCCUUUUGAGAGAAACACCGACCAGGUGAAACAACUGCGGCCCGAGUAUGUUCCGGUACAGCACUAUAUACUGUAUUAGUGUUACUAUUUGAUGCAAAUGCUACUUCACAAUAUUAUAUUGGAACUAUACUGUAAAAAAAAAAAGAAAUUACCAAAUUAUAUUUCUAGAAGGUGAUGGUGCUUUACUUUGCUGUGAACCAUCACAAGUAUAUCUUUGUUGAUGAAGCAGGCUUCAACCUGGUGAAAACUCAGCGCCAUGGGCGGAACCUCAUUGGCCAACGGGUGACCGUCCAAGUGCCAGGUGGGGGAAACAUCUCCAUGUGCGCAGCUAUCUCUGAAGACGGUGUGGUAGGACGUAGGCCAUUACUUGGAUCCUACAACGCUGCACACCUCAUUGUGUAAAUUGAGCAGGCCUGUCAAGAUGAAGGGGUCACCGGUUUCAUUGCGUGGGACAAUGUUAGGUUUCACCAUGCAAAGGUGGUUCAGUCAUGGUAUGGGCCCAUCCCUGAUUCGUAACUCUAUAUCUGCCCCCAUACUCUCCUUUCCUCAACCCUAUUGAGGAUUUGUUUUCAGCAUGGAGGUGGAAGGUGUAUGAUCGCUAUCCCCAUGAGCGUGCCACCCUCCUUCUGGCAAAAGAUUUUUCCUGCGGUGCAUGAACAAUGAGGACAUUCACUGUGAUGUGAUUGAGAAUUUAUGGCCAAAUGCUCAAGACAGGAUUGAUGCAAAUUAAUGUGUGCUAAAUGUUAGGUCUUAUUUUCAUUCAUUUAAUUUGUUUCAUUUAAUUUCUUACAUUUGAUUACAGACAGUAAACCUAUGUUGCAAUUAUAUCUGAAAUACAUUUUUGCAUGAAUGAUCGUAGAGGAUGUCUUCAUUGAGCACACCUUUGAUUACACAGAUAGAUAUUAUGGAAAUGAUAGAUUUUCUGUAAAUUUUGUUGGGUAAUGUAAGUGUAUUGUCUAAUGUGAAAACUGUAAUUUCGGGUACUGUAGCAUAUUACUUUCAGCACUUCUAAGGGCAAUUUGAAAUACGUAUCUUGCUUUGUUUGCUAUUGGAUUAACUGGUAGUUAAAACUAAAUUGAAAAGAUAUCGUUGUGUUUUGGUGAUUAAACCAAUGUUCUUGUUCUAUUACAUUUCACAAACUUAUAUUAUAAAUCAAUGGUUGUGUGGUGAAAGAUGUUUACGAUCCAAAUGAAUGCACAAUGAGAGGUUUUGAAUGAAAGAUUGGCAGCAUUACAAGUGUGACCAGUUUGGAGUUUUGUACUGAGUUGUGACAUUUUUUUAUUUUUUCUUUAUUUAACUAGGCAAGUCAGUUAAGAACAAAUUCUUAUUUUCAAUGACAGCCUAGGAACAGUGUAACUGCCUUGUUCAGGGGCAGAACAACAGAUUUUUACCUUGUCAGCUCGGGGAUUCAAUAUUGCAACCUUCCGGUUACUAGUCCAAUUCUCUAACCACUAGGCUACCAAACCACUAGGCUACCUGUACCACAUACUUGUGAAAAUCGUACCAUAGCAGUAAAAAAACAAUUGUUUGUGUUUUUACUAUCCUUGUGGGGACCAGAAGUCCUGACUGAAUGAAUGUUUCCACCUCAGACUGAAUAAACACCUACUUUCCGUA